rnacentral:rRNA from 1 species
GACGUAGGGGGCCAGCGUUGCUCGGAAUUACUGGGUGUAAAGGGUUCGUAGGCGGUGUGGCAAGUCGGGAGUGAAAUCUCUGGGCUCAACCCAGAGUCUGCUUCCGAAACUGCUGUGCUUGAGUGUGGGAGAGGCGCGUGGAAUUGCAGGUGUAGCGGUGAAAUGCGUAGAUAUCUGCGGGAACACCCGUGGCGAAAGCGGCGCGCUGGACCACUACUGACGCUGAGGAACGAAAGCUAGGGGAGCAAACAGG